GGACCUACACAAGCGGUGGAUCACGUGGCUUAAUUCGACAGUAAGCGAGGAACCUUACCAGGGCUUGAAAAGUUAAUGAAAGCAUUUCGAAAGAUUUGCCCACCCACAAGGACAUUAACCCAGGCGCUGCAUGGUUGUCGUCAGCAGGUGGCUUGAGUUGCUCCCUUAAAUGGGGUAACCUGCGCAACCCUUGCUCUAUGUUUCAUGUGUCAUAGAGGACUGCCUGGGACAACCAGGAGGAAGGUGAGGAUGACGCCAAAUCAGCAUGGCCCUUUGAUGCCCUGGGCUGCACACGUGAUACAAUGGGAUUGACAACGGGAAGCGAAAGAGUAAUCUGGAGCAAAUCCUAUCAAACAAUUCCUCAAUUCGGAUUGAGGUCUGAAACUCGACCUCAUGAAGCCGGAAUCGCUAGUAACCGCAGAUCAGCCACGCUGCGGUGAAUAUGUCCCUGGGUCUU
rnacentral:rRNA from 1 species